GUUCAGCUCUGAAUUCAGCUGUGCUUGUGCUGCAGACCUCUGAGGGGACCUUGAGCAAGUCGCUUAAUUUUGCUUUGCCUCUCCAUUCGCCCAUCUUCCUUCCUUCUGCUCUUCCUUCCUCUCCACGAGAGCAUAACCCUGGAGUGCAAGCGCGCUCUCGGAGCGGAGUUCAGCGAGGAUGGUUCAUCGGGACGCCCUCUUGCAGCAAGUCCUCUCCGGCGGCAGAUCAGUUUUCCUGCUGACAGCACUCCAGCUCUUCCAGAGUCCCAUCUUUACAGAACACGAGAUCCCAGAGAUUCUGGUAAUAUGCAAAUCUAUGCAAAUCUUUUUUAUUCAGAAAUACGCUCUUUUUCCCUUUCUCUUUCUUAUUGUAAGUGAAGCUAACCAUGCACAUAGAAAUGAAGUAGCUAGUUUAUCUAUUCAAACUUCUUCUAUCCAGGUAGAUCCCAAGAGAGAUUUUUGCUUGUCAGAGGAAAGGAAGUUGAGUUCCAGGCUCCUUUCUUAAUCUCAUCCCUACCUUUCAAAUCACCUGACAUCCACAGCUCAAUAUAUCUUUCAUAAAAAUUGGUGUUUAUGACUAAUUUUUAAAAAUACAGCUAUUGUCAGGCACUGCUGAAAGGUGCAUCAGAUGCUGAAGGUUUUCACUGCUUUGGAGCUAAUUAGUUGUAGAUAUUAGCAAUUACAGUACUGACUUUUAAAAUUACAGCUACUAUAGUUCAAAAGAGACAGAUGGCUUUAUUUAUGAAAAGGGAUUUUAGGGCUGCACACAGAAGACUCCAC